AGAGGGUGCUAGGCAGUGUACUGGGCCCUGGACACAUCAGUAAGCAAAACCGGUGCAGGUGCUUCGUGUAGUUCACAUCCCAGGAGCUUCGCCCACCUCACCGCUGAUGGCUGAGGAGCAGCCCGCAGGACGUUGCCUACACCUCCGGGGCGACCAGCGAGGCUCCAGGAAGGCUUACGCCAACGAGCAGGAGCCCCCACGCCCGAGAGGGCACGCGCCCCGAUUUCGGUUCCUGUUCCCCUCCACGUGGACUUCCUGUUCCUCCUCGAGCGGGUUAAUGAGCCACCGCCGCGCACCCUCGCCCUGAACGGGUAGGCUUACAAUGUGGGAGCGUGCCGAAGGCAGCCUGUGUGCUGGAGAUCCGAGGAUCCAUUCAGAAGUCCAAGGCCUGGAGAGUCACAGCAGAGUCCCGAGCGAGUCCGCAUCAGGAGGCUGGAGGGUCUGCACUGGAGGCCUGGAGAAGGGUGUCCGAGGCGAAGGUGAAGACUGGAGUCCUCUGAAGAGCAGAAAAACCGUUGGAACUGGUUUGGAGGAGGAGUUUCAAAAAGUUUGGAGAUGCAAGCUAAAGAAGUCCUAGAAUGCUAUAAACAGAGAUUGAAGCAUUACGGGACUAACAGAAGAAACUAGAGCUGAGGCAUAGAAAAGAAGAAACUGGUUUGCUUUCCGGUGAUGUAAAAUAUGUUCAAGGCAAAUUUUAAAAACACUUUUAAAAUGUAUGUAUACUGUGGAAGGGAGAUUCAUGGCCCUUGGAGACAUCUUCCUCCUCUUAUUCCCUGGAGACUGAUUCUGUUAUUCAGCAAGGUGGGAACUGAGGUUGCUGAUGAAAUGGAGGUUGCUAAUCAGCUGCUUUCAG